GCCAAAGACAAUAUAAGGUAAAACCUAAUAGAGUUCAUACAUAAUACCCUAAUAAAACGUAAAAUGUAACAACUACUAACAGUGCAACAAAACCAGUAAGAAUUAAAUGUGGUCUC